UACAGAGGGUGCAAGCGUUUUUCGGAAUUACUGGGCGUAAAGGGCGCGUAGGCGGUUUAGUAAGUCAGAUGUGAAAGCCCGGGGCUCAACUCCGGAAUUGCAUUUGAAACUGCUAGGCUAGAGUGCAGUAGAGGAUGGCGGAAUACCCAGUGGAGAGGUGAAAUUCGUAGAUAUUGGGUGGAACACCGGUGGCGAAGGCGGCCAUCUGGGCUGUAACUGACGCUGAGGCGCGAAAGCGUGGGGAGCAAACAGG
rnacentral:rRNA from 1 species